UACUUAAUGUGGUUGAUCUAGA
rnacentral:siRNA from 1 species